rnacentral:rRNA from 1 species
CCUACGGGAGGCAGCAGUAGGGAAUCUUCCACAAUGGGCGAAAGCCUGAUGGAGCAACGCCGCGUGGGUGAAGAAGGUCUUCGGAUCGUAAAACCCUGUUGUUAGAGAAGAAAGUGCGUGAGAGUAACUGUUCACGUUUCGACGGUAUCUAACCAGAAAGCCACGGCUAACUACGUGCCAGCAGCCGCGGUAAUACGUAGGUGGCAAGCGUUAUCCGGAUUUAUUGGGCGUAAAGGGAACGCAGGCGGUCUUUUAAGUCUGAUGUGAAAGCCUUCGGCUUAACCGGAGUAGUGCAUUGGAAACGGGGGGACUGGAGUGCAGAAGAGGAGAGUGGAACUCCAUGUGUAGCGGUGAAAUGCGUAGAUAUAUGGAAGAACACCAGGGGCGAAGGCGGCUCUCUGGUCUGUAACUGACGCUGAGGUUCGAAAGCGUGGGUAGCAAACAGGAUUAGAUACCCGAGUAGUC